CAACCUCAACUCAUAUGGGACUACCCCCUGAAUUUAAGCAUAUUAAUUAGGGGAGGAAAAGAAACUAACAAGGAUUUUCUUAGUAGCGGCGAGCGAAAAGAAAUCAGUUCAGCACUAAGUCACUUUGUCUAUAUGGCAAAUGUGAGAUGCAGUGUAUGGAACAUCAAUAUUCUAGUAUGAGAAAUUAACGAUUUAAGUCCUUCUUAAAUGAGGCCAUUUACCCAUAGAGGGUGCCAGGCCCGUAUAACGUUAAUGAUUACUAGAUGGUGUUUCCAAAGAGUCGUGUUGCUUGAUAGUGCAGCACUAAGUGGGUGGUAAACUCCAUCUAAAACUAAAUAUAACCAUGAGACCGAUAGUAAACAAGUACCGUGAGGGAAAGUUGAAAAGAACUCUGAAUAGAGAGUUAAAUAGUACGUGAAACUGCUUAGAGGUUAAGCCCGAUGAACCUGAAUAUCCGUUAUGGAAAAUUCAUCAUUAGAAUUGUAAUAUUUAAACAAUAUUAUAAUAAUAGUGUGCAUUUUUUCCAUAUAAGGACAUUGAAAUCUAUUAGCAUAUUAAUUUAUCAUAAAAUUAUGGCAUAUAGUUUAUUUCAAUUAAAAUGCUUGCGAUUCUACAUGAAAUAAACGCUGCAACUUUGACACAGGGCUGAUAGAUUUAUAUAAAUACAGGGCGUUAAUUUUUUCGUAAAUAUAUAAUGCCAUGAUUAUCAUGGAUUUCUGUGAAGAUUAUCUGCACUUGUAUGAUUCACACUGCGUAACAUUCAGGAUACCUUCGGGCAGCCGCCCUCUAUCGCGGACCAGCCAGUCUAACAUAGGCGUCAGUUAUUGGGUUACUCACCUUAGUAGAGUGAUGACCCUGACUACUGAAUGCGAAUAGUGUCUUACCAAUUAGUGACGGAAUAGACGAAACC
rnacentral:ncRNA from 1 species